rnacentral:misc_RNA from 1 species
AGGUUAUUCCCAGGGUUUUUAUUUUAUACUUUAAACAUUGAUUUUAUUUUUUAUGUUUUUAGAUGUUCAUGUUUUUGAAUGUUUUAUUCGAAUAAUAKAAAAAAUAAAAUAUAUAUUGMCAUGGAUUARMCMAAGAUAUAUAUUAUUCUAUGUUGUAUAAACAAAUUGGCAAAAUAGAGAUGGAAGAUAAAAAUAUGGUCAAAGUAAUAAGAGUCUAUGGUGAAUGCCUAGGAGCUUUAAGGCGAAGAAGGUCGUGGUAAGCUGCGAAAAGCUUGGGGGAGAAGCAAACAUUUAUUGAUCCCAAGAUUACCGAAUGGAGUAAUCCA